UACCUCAAACACCAGUGUGAUCCGGGUCUUCUGCCCUCUGGAGGACACGCAAAAGCAGCACACAUUCACAGCUCAAGCACAGGAAGGAAGAUACGAUUGUGCUGAAGAUUGGAUCGGUGAGCGUCGCUCCUCAGGCUGAUAAUCCACUGCCACGCUCCGUCCUGCGCAAAGACAUCUACCAACGGGCGCUGAAUCUGGGCGUUCUGCGUGACCCGGGGUCAGAGGUCGAGGACCGUCAGUAUCAGAUUGACCUCCAGUGCAUCAAUGUGGGCACGGCUCACUGGGACGACCUGCGGCCGGAGCGCGAAGGCCCGACGAGCGGCUCUCCUGCAGAUGGUGAACGCAGUUCCCAGAAUCCCGCGCUGGAGUGGAACAUGGCCAGCAGCAUCCGCCGGCAGCAGGAGAAGCGAGUGAUCCUGUCUCCGAUCAUCACAGAUUUCUCUGUGCGCAUCACAGCAGCUCUGCUGUAAUACCGGAAGCCUCUGUCAGCGGAUCACGGCCCAGCCGAGGAAGUGGUGGUGUGCGGCCACAGUCUGGAGAUGAACGUGACGUCCAGCCUGGAGCUGUUUCUGAGCGCGGCUCAGGUUCAGUUACUGCAGCGGCUCCUGCAGACCAACCUGAGACUGAUGAGUGUGGACCAAACACAGAGCAGACGUACGGCC